CCUACGGGUGGCAGCAGUAGGGAAUCUUUCACAAUGGGCGAAAGCCUGAUGGAGCAACGCCGCGUGCAGGAUGAAGGCCUUCGGGUUGUAAACUGCUUUUAUAAGCGAGAAAUAUGAUGGUAACUUAUGAAUAAGGAUCGGCUAACUACGUGCCAGCAGCCGCGGUCAUACGUAGGAUCCGAGCAUUAUCCGGAGUGCCUGGGUGUAAAGAGUUGCGUAGGUGGCAUAAUAAGUAGCUAGUGAAAUCUGGUGGCUCAACCAUUCAGACUAUUAGCGAAACUGUUAAGCUCGAGACCGUUAGGGGUAACUGGAAUUUCUAGUGUAGGAGUGAAAUCCGUAGAUAUUAGGAGGAACACCAAUAGCGAAGGCAGGUUGCUGGGACGGUUCUGACACUGAGGCACGAAAGCGUAGGGAGCAAACAGGAUUAGAUACCCUAGUAGUC
rnacentral:rRNA from 1 species